AUUGAACGCUGGCGGCAGGCUUAACACAUGCAAGUCGAGCGGGGAAAGGUAGCUUGCUACUUAACCUAGCGGCGGACGGGUGAGUAAUGCUUAGGAAUCUGCCUAUUAGUGGGGGACAACAUCUCGAAAGGGAUGCUAAUACCGCAUACGUCCUACGGGAGAAAGCAGGGGACCUUCGGGCCUUGCGCUAAUAGAUGAGCCUAAGUCGGAUUAGCUAGUGGGUGGGGUAAAGGCCGACCAAGGCGACGAUCUGUAGCGGGUCUGAGAGGAUGAUCCGCCCCACUGGGACAGAGACACGGCCCAGACGCCUACGGGGGGCAGCAGUGGGGAAUAUUGGACAAUGGGGGGAACCCUGAUCCAGCCAUGCCGCGUGUGUGAAGAAGGCCUUUUGGUUGUAAAGCACUUUAAGCGAGGAGGAGGCUACCGAGAUUAAUACUCUUGGAUAGUGGACGUUACUCGCAGAAUAAGCACCGGCUAACUCUGUGCCAGCCGCCGCGGUAAUAC
rnacentral:rRNA from 1 species